rnacentral:tRNA from 1 species
AUAUCACCAAAACCAUAUAGUUGGAAGCCAUAUAUGCCAUAUUACACUAAAGUGAUAAAGGAUUAUUUAACCCAUCCAUUAUUUGUC